rnacentral:miRNA from 8 species
GAAACCCAGAGCAGGUGAGGCCU